GGAGACAUAGCUCAGCUGGGAGAGCGAGCGACUGAAGUUCACAGUCAUCAGGACUCCCGAGGGUGGACCACAAGUCCAUGUUCAGGAUCAUCGCUAGGUCGGGUGUUCGAUCCACUCUGGCUCCA